GGGGUAGUUCAUCGAUCGUCCAUUCCAACUUCUCGCUGUGGUUUUUAAACUCCGGUAUCCAGUCACCUUGUUCCAGUAGCAGUCGUCGUUUAACGCGAUUCUUGUUUCAGCACGAAAGCUUACCAAUUCCACAUCUUGAUCGAACUCGGAUACAAGCUCCACCAGAAAGUCUAGAGCAGCAUCGGUAAACACUUCCUUAUACGCGGACUCCAACCGGUGGGGGGACGAUUCAAUCAGGAUUCGACUCGGACAGUUCCUCAUCGUAGUGCCAAACUAGCUGAAUGAACAAAACAGCUGCGACUGAAACGCACGGUGUCCAAGCGGUUGAUUAGGGAUAUCACUUUAAUCAAUGGAACAUUGGCGAAAAAUCGACAGAGCGAUCGGAUAACACGAGGACGAUGUUCUUGGGCGAAGCGGAAGCCAAGCACUUUCCAAGUGGAGACAAUGUUGACGACAUGAUUUUCACAGAGACUGGAUAUGGCGUCGAGCGAUAGGCACACGGCUACCUCGUUGUUUUCAUCGUUCGGAUUGCUCAGCACUUCCGAAAACAGAUUCACCAGA